rnacentral:tRNA from 1 species
GGUGAUGUAGCUUAGGAGAGUGCAUGUCUAGCAUGCAUGAAGCCCUGGGUUCAAUCCCCAGCACCACAU